AACGAACGCUGGCGGCAGGCUUAACACAUGCAAGUCGAGCGCCCCGCAAGGGGAGCGGCAGACGGGUGAGUGACGCGUGGGAAUCUACCCAUCUCUACGGAAUAACGCAUGGAAACGUGUGCUAAUACCGUAUACGUCCUUCGGGAGAAAGAUUUAUCGGGGAUGGAUGAGCCCGCGUUGGAUUAGCUAGUUGGUGGGGUAAGGGCCUACCAAGGCGACGAUCCAUAGCUGGUCUGAGAGGAUGAUCAGCCACACUGGGACUGAGACACGGCCCAGACUCCUACGGGAGGCAGCAGUGGGGAAUAUUGGACAAUGGGCGCAAGCCUGAUCCAGCCAUGCCGCGUGAGUGAUGAAGGCCCUAGGGUUGUAAAGCUCUUUCACCGGUGAAGAUAAUGACGGUAACCGGAGAAGAAGCCCCGGCUAACUUCGUGCCAGCCGCCGCCGUAAAAC
rnacentral:rRNA from 1 species